UGGGGAAUAUUGGACAAUGGGCGCAAGCCUGAUCCAGCCAUGCCGCGUGGGUGAAGAAGGCCCUAGGGUUGUAAACCCCUUUCAGCGGGGAAGAUAAUGACGGUACCCGCAGAAGAAGCCCCGGCUAACUCCGUGCCAGCAGCCGCGGUGAUACGGAGGGGGCUAGCGUUGUUCGGAAUUACUGGGCGUAAAGCGCGCGUAGGCGGACCUGCAAGUCGGGGGUGAAAGCCCGAGGCUCAACCUCGGAACUGCCUUCGAUACUGCGGGUCUCGAGUCCGGGAGAGGUGAGUGGAAUUCCUAGUGUAGAGGUGAAAUUCGUAGAUAUUAGGAAGAACACCAGUGGCGAAGGCGGCUCACUGGCCCGGUACUGACGCUGAGGCGCGAAAGCGUGGGGAGCAAACAGGAUUAGAUACCCUGGUAGUCCACGCCGUAAACUAUGGGUGCUAGCCGUCGGUCGGCAUGCCGGUCGGUGGCGCAGCCAACGCA
rnacentral:rRNA from 1 species